AACGAACGCUGGCGGCAUGCCUAACACAUGCAAGUCGAACGAGACCUUCGGGUCUAGUGGCGCACGGGUGCGUAACGCGUGGGAACCUGCCCUUAGGUUCGGAAUAACUCCCCGAAAGGGGUGCUAAUACCGGAUAAUGUCUUCGGACCAAAGAUUUAUCGCCUUUGGAUGGGCCCGCGUUGGAUUAGUCAGUUGGUAGGGUAAAAGCCUACCAAGGCGACGAUCCAUAGCUGGUCUGAGAGGAUGAUCAGCCACACUGGGACUGAGACACGGCCCAGACUCCUACGGGAAGCAGCAGUGGGGAAUAUUGGACAAUGGGCGAAAGCCUGAUCCAGCAAUGCCGCGUGAGUGAUGAAGGCCUUAGGGUUGUAAAGCUCUUUUACCCGGGAUGAUAAUGACAGUACCGGGAGAAUAAGCUCCGGCUAACUCCGUG
rnacentral:rRNA from 1 species